AUUAUCUUCAACAUCAGCAUCCAGUAACUAAGUUGGGUCUUAUAUAUUUCAAGCGUUGAGGAUGAAUUCCUUAAUAACUCUGAUUUUACUCUCAUAGCUUUUCUCGGUACCAUAGUAGUGUGAUGGCUACAAUUUAUAACAGAACCUGGUUGUUCAAUUCAAUGAGCUUAUGAAAUUUGAUAUGGGAGGCCCGACUGAGGAUUUGGGCGAUGCAAAAUCUUUUUGUCAAAUUAGACCGUCUGGUGUAGAGGUACUACCAACAAGUUUUGUUAGAAUGUUUUAUGAAUGAAGACUUGAAUGAAAAAAGUUCUCAAGAAAAAGAAUUGUGGUGAAUUGUUAUCACUGAUUGUUGUAAAGAAUUGAGAAGGACAUGGGUUUGAAAUUAAAGACCGUCAUGGUGUACAGGGUUAUUGAUCGUUCAAUAAUUCUAAUGUCCCUCGACUAUUUGUUGUAAAUGUUUGCUUAUUCGAAUAUAUCAAAUUUUAGUGUUUUUCAUUUGACCAAUUUUCAGCUAACUUCUACUAAUUUGAUGGACACUUGGUAAAAGUUGUUUUUGUAUUACGUUUAGAUAGCUAUAUUUGUUUAUAUUUUUUUAUUUUACACUUAUUGUAUAUAUCAUUUAAAUGGUCUAAGGGUGUACGGGGUGUGUUAGACAAACCCAUCACCAACCCCCUUCUGCUGAUUGAGAAACCACCGCCACCCCCUUGUGCUGAUCGUAUUGAUGAUGAAGAGGGUGAUUUCGGCAUGCGCCUGCCGCAAGCGACAACGAGAAGGAAAGGGAGAAGUGGUGGGGCCCAUACCAAUCACAUAUUUUUGUUUUUUUUUAAAUGGUUUGCCUAAUCUCAAUUUAGGCAUGCACCCCUUGUGUUUUUUGGGUAAUAGGCAAAAGUUAUAGUCAAAUUACAUGGCACAAUUCAAUUGGGUGAGGGAAAACUUUGCCUAAAGGGAUUAGGCAUUAAGUAUUUAGGUAGGAUAACUUAGUACAUAUAAUAUAUUAAUUUAGAUAUAUGUAAACGGUUGCGUAGCACGUAC